CUUUUUUUUCCCCCUCAGCAAACAUAUAAGUAUUCACGUGCAGCCGGAUAAGUAAAACUGCAACUUAAUCUCAGGUUGGUUCAGGUCAGACUUCGCCAUCCUGUAAGCUCGGUUUUCAGGCAUUUGGGGAUUCUGGAACUGAGGAGAGGUGGACGUGGUUCCUUAGGAGAUCAGGCCUGCGAAUCCCCGCGCGGAGAGAGGGCGCUUCGUUCCCAGGCUUCCCUGCCUGCUGGGGGCCAGGGAGGAGACCAGCUUGUUGGAAGCGGAGGCGUCUAAGGAGUUUCCAAAUAGGAAAACCAGCGGCUGCAGGCCUCAGGACGUGGCCGGGCGAGCCGCAGCCUCAUCCCGCGAGCGGGCGUUCCUGGGCUGCCUGCACCGUAGUACCUUAAUGUGCUUUAAAAAAGGAAAGCGGCCGGGCGCGGUGCCUCACACGCCUGUAACCCCAGCACUGAGGCAGGAGGAUCGCCUGAGACCAGGAGUUCGAGGGCAGUCUGGGCAACAGAGGGAGAUCCUCGUCUUGACAAAUAAAAUAAAUAAAGAUACAAAGAUCUGAAAGAGACAUUUGUACACCCAUGUUCAUAGCAGCAUUAUUCAUAUUGGCCAAAAGGUGGAAGCAGCCCAAAUAUCUAU
rnacentral:lncRNA from 10 species